rnacentral:lncRNA from 1 species
UCAUUGCUCAUAGAGGUCAGUAUGAUGCACUUGACAGUCAAACUGUCAUUCUUCCACAUUUUGUAUAUAGAUACCUCCUCUUCUGUGGUAUCAUCCCUAACCUCUUGUGGUUCCAGGAUGUCAAGAAUAUAGGAGUGCUUCUCUUGAGUGAGUACGAUCUUUAAAUUCCUCAACCAGUCCACAUAAUUGAGAUCGGUCAACUUGUUGAAAUCUAAAAUUUCUCGCC